UACGUAGGGGGCUAGCGUUAUCCGGAAUUACUGGGCGUAAAGGGUGCGUAGGUGGUUUCUUAAGUCAGAGGUGAAAGGCUACGGCUCAACCGUAGUAAGCCUUUGAAACUGGGAAACUUGAGUGCAGGAGAGGAGAGUGGAAUUCCUAGUGUAGCGGUGGAAUGCGUAGAUAUUAGGAGGAACACCAGUUGCGAAGGCGGCUCUCUGGACUGUAACUGACACUGAGGCACGAAAGCGUGGGGAGCAAACAGG
rnacentral:rRNA from 1 species